AUUGAACGCUGGCGGCAGGCCUAACACAUGCAAGUCGAACGGUAGCACAGAGAGCUUGCUCUCGGGUGACGAGUGGCGGACGGGUGAGUAAUGUCUGGGAAACUGCCCGAUGGAGGGGGAUAACUACUGGAAACGGUAGCUAAUACCGCAUAACGUCUUCGGACCAAAGUGGGGGACCUUCGGGCCUCACACCAUCGGAUGUGCCCAGAUGGGAUUAGCUAGUAGGUGGGGUAAUGGCUCACCUAGGCGACGAUCCCUAGCUGGUCUGAGAGGAUGACCAGCCACACUGGAACUGAGACACGGUCCAGACUCCUACGGGAGGCAGCAGUGGGGAAUAUUGCACAAUGGGCGCAAGCCUGAUGCAGCCAUGCCGCGUGUAUGAAGAAGGCCUUCGGGUUGUAAAGUACUUUCAGCGGGGAGGAAGGCGGUAAGGUUAAUAACCUUGGCGAUUGACGUUACCCGCAGAAGAAGCACCGGCUAACUCCGUGCCAGCCGCCGCAGUAA
rnacentral:rRNA from 1 species